rnacentral:lncRNA from 10 species
AGGUUUGUGGCGACCCUGCAUCAAACAAGUCUGUAUUGGUGUCGUUUUCCAACAGCAUGUGCUCAUGUCAUGUCUCUGUGUCAGCAUUUUUUUGCAAUCACGUAUUUUUAAAUUAAGUAUGUACAUUGUUCUUUUAGACAAAAUGUUAUUGCACAUUUAAUACGCUACAGUAUAGUAUAAACAUACUUUUAUAUGCACUGGGAAACCUCAAAAUGUGUGUGACUCACUUUAUCAUGAUGGUCUGGAACUGAGUCUGCAGUAUCUCCAAGGUAUGCCUGUAUAAGAAGUGUUAUCUAAUUUGAAUAUUCAUUUACUUAAUUAUUGGGACAGUUAAGCAAUUUCUCUGAGUUUAAUGGCCAAAGAGAAGUGUUUUUAAUCUGACAGUCUAUAUGAUUUCAUGUGGCAGACCUGAUAGGCCAUUGGCAACAGCUCCAAACCUAAUUAAAACAUAGUGAGGUUCAUCAGGGAGAGUAUUGGCCAGAGCCAUGAGGACUGCCUUGAGUUCUAGUAAUUGAGAGGAGCAGCCACAUCUGCUUUUGGAUUUACAUAGCUGGCACUGAAGCUGAACAGCAGCAGCAGCUCCUCAUUGGACUCCAUUAUGUUUCAUUGUAGCCAAACAAUUCAUGAAGUAGACCCAGAAAUUUAGGGGAAACUAAGUCAAGGGCCCCAUUGAACCAAUGGGAUUGCUUUAUGCAGUGGAGUUGGCCGUACAGUUUACCUCCAAAAGGAUAGCUGCCAUUUUUUCAUGUAGGACCAAAAAGCUGCUAGGGCCAGGCCAGCUAUGCUAUUUCUCUUUGACUAGCAAGGCUUGUUAGAUACUUUUCACCUUGUUAGUCAUCAAGUCGAAGUUGACCCAUCCCAAAAUGGGGAUGUCAAGCCAAAGAGUCAGAAGACCCAUGUUAAGUCACAUUAAGUUUCAACAAAAGCUUAGCAGAUUAAUAGCUGCCUUCUUUUGUUAACAUAUAAAGAUGUAUGUGGUGGCUGGGUCAGGCAGCUGUUGUGAUUGUUAGUAUUGAGCUGUUGCCUCUCUGAGUACUCAGGCAGCCAUUAAGUCUUUGAAACUUCUCCUCUUGGAGGCCUAUAUUACUUAUACUGGACCACCUGGGGAGGGAGGUCAGUCUGUGCCGUAUUCCUUGAAAGUGAGAUGGAAUGAGAUAUAGACCAAGAAGUGCAGGCAUAAAAUCCACGAAUUCUAUUAUACAUACAUUGAAUAUGUCCAAAGAACCAUGGUGACAUUAUUUUUGAGGGGUCCAGCUCCUCAUCAAAAACUUGGGGGCUGGGAUAGGACAGAAGAGAGUUGGCACUUUCUCUAGUUUAACCUCUUGCUAUUUCAGUAAGUGAUUAAAGCUUUGACUGUUCGACGUGCCUGCUCAGCUCUCCCUGGCCCCUAACAAUUUCAGUUUUCCUUCCCCACUCCAAGCCCUGUCCAAACCCUGUCAGUUGAAUUAAAGUGCCUUUUUUCCUGUAGGAACACAGACCAAGAAGUUUAACAUGUGCAUCAGGUGCUACAGCACAGAUUCCAAAAGAUCAGGUUAUCCCCCAGUUGGGAGUUCCAGGUGGCAGAGGAAGCUAGUCUACAAUGACAGUAGGAGCAAUGGUGGUGGGGCAUACAGUUCAUCUGCUCAUAAUUGUUAUAUCCACACAAUUGUCAUUAGUAUGCCUGAGUGUUUAUGCUUGCAAAAAAAUGUUAUUGCCUAUUUCAAUGUGUGGAGUGGCCUGCAAAGUGUUCUCUUGUGUUUUUAUUUUUCUCAGUGGUGGUGGGAAAGAAAUUUGAUUCUCAGCAUUUUUUUCCAUUGACCACUGUCUCCAGGUUCAGUACCUGAGCACUGCUGCUACUUCUUCCCCCAUCUAUCUCCAGCAUCCAAUGAGUGUCCAGCUUCCAAGACCCCUUACUUUGGUGCUGAUCAUAAUCUCAAAAUACAUAAUCCUGAAUGUUGAAAUCCUGAAAUACCAAAAUCCUUAAGGUCUAAAGUCCCUAACAUCUAAAAUUUCAAUGGAUUAAAAUCUUUGAAAUCCCGUGAGACAAAUUCUGGGGAAGGGAUUAAUGUGUUUUCAGUUGUAUGCAGUGUACUUGCAUCACGACAGGCAGAACUAUUACCUUGUUAUUGUCUCUACUAGGAAAUUACAGUUUAAGGGGAUUCAUAUAGGUGCCAAAUUGACAAGAAGUGGACUUAUGGACAUAGUUUUAGGUGUCACCUUGUCUGGAUUAAGGAAUACCUAGAAACCUAGUAAGGCAUUAUUUUCAGUGUAUCUGUGAGAGUCCUUCUAGGGGAGACGUGUAUGUGAGUCUCAGUGGACUAAGUGGGAAAGAUCUGUCCUCAGUGUUGGCAGGAGCCGUCCAAUCAGCCAGGGGCCUAUAGAGAACAGAGAAGGCAAAUUAGUCCCUCUCAGAGCUGGGACAAAUUUUCUGCUGCUGCCUUCGACAUCAGAAAUUUGACACCACAAACUACAUUAUCACAGCAUUAACCAUGUGUAAGCAUUAUGCAUGUAUGUAAAAAUGUAGAAACUUCCUCAGUAAAGGAAGAGAUGUCCUCUUUGUACAUCUGCAUUUGUCAAAGAUAAAAUUUCUGAAAAUCUUGGCUCUUUGGGCUAAUGUGUAUGUGGUGGUGACCCACUGAAGGUUUUUGGUUUUUUUGUUUGUUUUUUCAAGACAGAGUCUUGCUCUGUCGCCCAGGCUGGAGUGCAGUGGCACCAUCUCAGCUCACUGCAACCUCCGCCCCCUGGGUUCAAGCGAUUCUCCUGCAUCAGCCUCUCAAGUAGCUGGGACUACAGGCGCCCACCACCGCGCCUGGCUAAUUUUUGUAUUUUUGUAGAGACAGGGUUUCACCAUAUUGGCCAGGCUGGUCUUGAACUCCUGACCCCAGGUGAUCCGCCCAUGUUGGCCUCCCAAAGUGCUGGAAUUGCAGACGUGAGCCACCAUGCCCAGCCAAGUUUUGUUUUUUGUUUUUUGUUUUUUUGUUGUUGUUUCCUUUUGAGAUGGAGUCUUGCUCUGUUGCCCCAGCUUGAGUGCAGUGGCGUGAUCUGGACUCACUGUAAUCACCUACUGGAUUCAAGCAAUUCUCCUGCCUCAGCCUCCUGAGUAGCUGGGAUCAUAGAUGCCUGCCACCACACCCGACUAAUUUUUGUAUAUUUGGUAGAGACAGGGUUUCACCAUGUUGGUCAGGCUGGUCUCGAACUCCUGAUCUGAAGUGAUCUGCCUGCCUCGGCCUCCCAAAGUGCUGGGAUUACAGGCAUGAGCCACCACGCCCGCCCCCCCCAUUGAAGUUUUUGAUUGAUCUCGUCAGGAGACUUAGGUUGUCUAUCACUGUAUUUCAGAUGACUGCAGUUAUAAAGCUGGGUGUAUGCUUCUAUAUAUUUAGCUUUUUCACCCAUUUCUUUAUGAAUACAGUUUAUCUGCUCAUAAUUGUUACAUCCACGCAAUUGUCAUUAGUAUGCCUGAGUGUUUAUGCUUGCAAAAAGUAUGUUAUUGCCUAUUUCAUUGUGUGAAGUGGUCUACACAGUGUUCUCUAGUGUUUUUAUGUUUCUCAAAUCCCCUUUUUAAAAUGUAAAUAAAUGCUUUUUAAAUAACUUUU